CACAACUCAAGAGGACAUUAUCAAUACAUCAUUUAUGCAAGUCGUUCAAUCCUCAACAGGAUUUUGUGCUCAUUUGGGGAAUUAACAGUACCUAUACUCUUCAGCUUUUAUCCAUCUAUGAGCACCGGAUUGCAGUUUAGGGCUUCAUAUGGGGAAUUAACUCAUUUGAUCAGUGGGGAGUGGAGCUAGGGAAGUCACUCGCUUCUCAAGUGAGGAAACAGCUGCAUGGAACCCGGAUGGAAGGAAAACCUGUUGAGGGUUUUAACCACAUCA